rnacentral:rRNA from 1 species
UACAGAGGGGGCAAGCGUUGUUCGGAAUUACUGGGCGUAAAGGGCGCGUAGGCGGCCUGUUAAGUCGAACGUGGAAUCCCCGGGCUCAACCCGGGAACUGCGUCCGAUACUGGCAGGCUUGAAUCCGGGAGAGGGAUGCGGAAUUCCAGGUGUAGCGGUGAAAUGCAUAGAUAUCAAGAGGAACACCUGCGGCGAAGGCGGGUUGCUGGGCCGACACUGACGCUGAGGCGCGAAAGCCAGGGGAGCGAACGGG